ACUAUUUACCUAUAGACUUUCUGCAAAAUCACUUAAAAUCUGAGGUACAGGUAUACCCUGUCAUAUGGACCUAAUAGUUUUUAGGAAAUAAUCUAUAUACCAAGAGUCUGUAAACCUGGAGGUCCUUUCCCAUAAUUUUAAGUGGAGGAGAAAAAUUAUGCUUUCCUGGGCUAUAUGGACAUACCCAGAUAUUUCCACAAACACUAAAAUAGUCAGAAGAAAUAUUAAUCUAAAUGUUAGGAUGGUAAGAUAUUAAACAUAACAAAGAUGAAAAUUAACAAAGACUAGAUUAGGCCAAAUCUGAAACAGGUGAGUUUUGAGACCCCUCUUAAAUGUUACUACAAUAGGAAUAAGGAUUUGAAACCCAGGGCCACAGGCAAAAACAACUCUUCUACUUGCUAUGCCUUUUUCCAUUUAGCAUUCCACACAAUUUGAACACAAUAGGUCAGUUUUGCAUUGCUUAAAAACCUUUUUUUCUCCCAAACAGUUACAUAUCUGUAAUAAUACGCUUAUUAAUUGCUAAAUAUGUAAUUCUGCUCUGCUGGAGAUCUGAAACAGGUCAUCCAAUAGGAGGCCUCCACUUAACUUGGAAGUAAACAGAUGCCAAUGCUGACUGUAUACCGCUCCUGUAUGUGGGGCCAGACAAAGUUGGCACCAAAAUUUUGUUGCCACUGAUGGCAUGCUCAUACACUGUCACCCUCAGCCACCACCAUGCAUGUGCACAGGCCUGGUGUUUCGACAAAAGGUUGAAAAGCCCCACAGUCUGCUUACUACAGUAAAGAAAGAGCUCCAUGGCUGCAGAUGGUAUGUUCUGUGCCGAAGGCCAGCUUGUCGCUCUGCUGCUGCUUCUUACCAUAACAUUAAGCACUUAAGCAGGACUGAUUUAAACCUCAAAAACUAAAAUCUGGGUGCCAGGAGCGGAUGGCAGCGAUUGAUGGAGCGCACCUUUCCCCACUAAGCGCUCUUUCUUGGAGAGCAUUCAACUGGAUUGUGAUGAACAGUUGUGAUCAAUUGUCUCUUGUCAGAAGGACCCCCUUUUCUCCAGUUGUUAAUACCAACCAAAACAUGCUGCUGGAAACCGCUGCACCAACCAGAUGGGUUCAAUUUCCCUGAGCUGCAGUUGGACAGAGGUCAAAACAAAGAUGCCCACUAUCGUUUGGAAGAUGUUGCAUCACUCAAGGAAAUCUUUUUUUUUUUUUUU